rnacentral:rRNA from 1 species
AACGCUGGCGGCGUGCCUAAUACAUGCAAGUCGAGCGAACAGACGAGGAGCUUGCUCCUCUGACGUUAGCGGCGGACGGGUGAGUAACACGUGGAUAACCUACCUAUAAGACUGGGUUACCUUGGGGAAACGGGACCAAUUCCCGAUAAUAUUAUUAAACCCAAGGGUUAAUUGUUGAAAGAGGGUUUUCCUGUCACUUAUGAAUGGUCCCGCGCCGCAUUAGCUAGUUGGUAAGGUAACGGCUUACCAAGGCGACGAUGCGUAGCCGACCUGAGAGGGUGAUCGGCCACACUGGAACUGAGACACGGUCCAGACUCCUACGGGAGGCAGCAGUAGGGAAUCUUCCGCAAUGGGCGAAAGCCUGACGGAGCAACGCCGCGUGAGUGAUGAAGGUCUUCGGAUCGUAAAACUCUGUUAUUAGGGAAGAACAAAUGUGUAAGUAACUAUGCACGUCUUGACGGUACCUAAUCAGAAAGCCACGGCUAACUACGUG